rnacentral:rRNA from 1 species
UACUGAGGGUGCGAGCGUUAAUCGGAAUUACUGGGCGUAAAGCGUGCGCAGGCGGUUUUGUAAGACAGGCGUGAAAUCCCCGGGCUUAACCUGGGAACUGCGUUUGUGACUGCAAGGCUAGAGUACGGCAGAGGGGGGUGGAAUUCCACGUGUAGCAGUGAAAUGCGUAGAGAUGUGGAGGAACACCAAUGGCGAAGGCAGCCCCCUGGGUCGAUACUGACGCUCAUGCACGAAAGCGUGGGUAGCAAACAGG